rnacentral:rRNA from 1 species
GACGAACGCUGGCGGCAUGCCUAACACAUGCAAGUCUAGGGGUAGCAAUACCACUGGCGCACGGGUGAGUAACACGUAGGUUAUCUGCCCCCAUCACAGACAUAACCCCGGGAAACCGGGGCUAAUAUCUGAUGAGGUCGCGAGAUCAAAGCUUCGGCGGAUGGGGAUGAGCCUGCGGCUGAUUAGCUAGUUGGUGAGGUAAUGGCUCACCAAGGCGACGAUCAGUAGCUGGUCUGAGAGGACGAACAGCCACACUGGAACUGAGACACGGUCCAGACUCCUACGGGAGGCAGCAGUGAGGAAUAUUGGUCAAUGGGGAGCAAUCCUGAACCAGCAAUGCCGCGUGUGGGAUGACAGGGCUUCGCCUUGUAAACCACUGUCGGACGGGACGAAAGGAGGCCUCGGGCCUCUGGGACGGUACCGUCGAAAGGAAGGUCGGUUAACUACGUGCCAGCAGCCGCGGUAAU